GUAACAUAUGGCAUCCUGGAGCUGCGAUGUAAACUUUGAUCUAUUGGAUCAAAGUGAGAAUUGAGCUGGUUGGACGUCAUCCCCGAGUGACUUUGGACGCGUGAGAAUGAAUUCCGAUGAUAAGUAAGUGUUUCGGCGCAAAGUGGGCGCGAAACGAAAUGUAAAUAGAAUUUUCGGAAUUCUGACGCUAACCUUGAUUAAAAGAAUUAAANGUGUUUGUUGCUUGCCUUCGUGCAAGCCAUGUAUAUUGAAAUGUGAUCCUGGGAAUUAUUUAUUUCUUUAUACAUGUACUCGUUGUUGUUGAGCCUUGGGCGAACAGGGGAGGUGCUGUUCGUUCGGCGUCUGUGCGCGGGCCCAGAUCGACCAAAUUGGCGACCGCGGGACGUGACAUAG
rnacentral:lncRNA from 1 species